UAUGCGGAAUACAAGAUCAUGCCUGCUGACUGCAGAUAUUUGAAAUGGACCAUAUAUAAACAAACACUUCAGUUUUCUUAAAUACGCAGGAACCUUAGUAUCAAUAACGUUAUUAAUGCAUACUGGUUUUUUAGCGAUUCGAAGUGGCUGGUGGAGCUAAAGUAAGUGGUCCCACGUCGCCGUUUUUGAGACGAUAAAAGGGCACAAAUGCCGCAAGCUGGAUUGGCUUUGAUACGGUGAUAGUCUGAAAAGAAUACAACAUUCAGAUUAAGCAGAGCUGCUGUCUAUGGCCUGUUUUGCAUGAAUUGUAUGUAAAGGUCUGUUCGUACGUGCCUUGUAGUGCAGUGGCGUUGAUCAUUGAGAAUGUGAAGUUCACCGUCCUGGCUGUUCCCGGCUUGUUCAGCUCAAAAGUCACCGAGGAGCUAAAGGUGGAGUUUGCUCGUUUUGUGAAAUCCCGGUUUGCCCAACUCAAAUACCAAUAUUGCUUGAUAUUGGGGAUCACUCCGGCCCACCGUCUGUUGAUACUUUCCGUCGGCCAGUUUCACAAAAGUCUGUCGUUCUCCACCCAGCGUAACCGAUAAUGGUACCCCUAAAGGUCAACUGGUUAGUUUGGCUCCGCAUGCACACGCCAGGCCUACCAAUCCAAAUUAUAUAAACCAGCCUCAUCAAUUCAGCAAAAGAACAUUAUUUGGUUACAUUCCGGUUAGAAGAAAUCUUUUUCUGUAGCCCACCUUGAACCCCGGUAGUCAAAUUGAUCAUAUUCGUUUGCUGCGCCCAUAUCAUGUCAUAGCUUCCCAAAAACGGAUCCAGCGACCAUGUCGAAGAGUAGUCAUCAGCACUGAACACCGAUACAAGGCAUAAAGCUGUAACAAAUUGGGAAAGUUCAUUUUAUGCUUGGUUUAUUUUAUCAACGAUCAUCAGUUUGUCGCAAAAAAAGCUAAAAAAAACUGGUGAC